AGUGAACGCUGGCGGUAGGCCUAACACAUGCAAGUCGAACGGCAGCACAGUAAGAGCCUGCUCUUACGGGUUGCGAGUGGCGGACGGGUGAGGAAUACAUCGGAAUCUACUUUUUCGGGGGGGAUAACGUAGGGAAACUUACGCUCAUAUCGCAUACGACCUACGGGUGAAAGCAGGGGAUCUUCGGAACUUGCGCGAUUGAAGGUGGCGAUGUCUUAUUGGAUGGUGGGCGGGUAAAAGGCCCACCAAGGCGACAAUCCUAAGCUGGUCUCUGAGGAUGAUCACCAAAAUGGGAACUGGGACACGGUCCAGCCUCCUACGGGAGGAGGCAGAGGGGAAUAUUGGAAAAUGGGCGCAAGCCCAAUCAAGCCAUACCGCGUGGGUGAAGAAGGCCUUCGGGUUGUAAAGCCCUUUGGUUGGGAAAGAAAAGCAGCAGGUUAAUACCCCGCUGUUCUGACGGUACCCAAAGAAUAAGCACCGGCUAACUUCGUG
rnacentral:rRNA from 1 species